rnacentral:sRNA from 1 species
CUAAGGUUCGACUCGAGCGAAGCGAGAGAACGUUGCCGCAGGCAACGGCCCGAAGGGCGAGGCGCUUUAGCGCCGAGUAAUCCUUCCCCCACCACUG